rnacentral:rRNA from 1 species
GACGAACGCUGGCGGCGUGCUUAACACAUGCAAGUCGAACGGAAAGGCCCUGCUUUUGUGGGGUGCUCGAGUGGCGAACGGGUGAGUAACACGUGAGUAACCUGCCCUUGACUUUGGGAUAACUUCAGGAAACUGGGGCUAAUACCGGAUAGGAGCUCCUGCUGCAUGGUGGGGGUUGGAAAGUUUCGGCGGUUGGGGAUGGACUCGCGGCUUAUCAGCUUGUUGGUGGGGUAGUGGCUUACCAAGGCUUUGACGGGUAGCCGGCCUGAGAGGGUGACCGGCCACAUUGGGACUGAGAUACGGCCCAGACUCCUACGGGAGGCAGCAGUGGGGAAUAUUGCACCAUGGGCGGAAGCCUGAUGCAGACACGCCGCGUGCGGGAUGACGGCCUUCGGGUUGUAAACCGCUUUCGCCUGUGACGAAGCGUGAGUGACGGUAAUGGGUAAAGAAGCACCGGCUAACUACGUG